UGGUUUACGAACGAAUGUACCAGUAUCGGACCAGUCACCUCCGCCAGCUUCUCCUCCUCCACCUCCUCCUCUGUUUCGUGGCAUCUUUCUUUCUAGCUGCUUUGUCUUUCUUGUUGUAAUGAAAUGUAGUCCAGCAGUCCUUCUUUUCCACUCCUUCAGUUGUUUCUUAUUUUUAAUAAUUAAUUAAUUACGAGCCCGGCCCACUCAAUCACGUGACAUUAGAUCUAGCUAAUGAAUAAUAAAAUUUGAGCAUUCGAGCAAAAUAAUUAAGAUUUUGGACUGGACCCAUCAUCGACCUAUCACCAUUUAUGAGUGAAGACUGGAAGACUGUGAAGCUCAAGCUGUACUAAUUGAGACUCCAGUUGCUGCUGUUCCUCAGGUCUUGAAGAGGAUUCGUGCUGGAUUGGCAAGAAGAGACAAACCAGGCUUGGAGUGAUUUUGAGCAAAAGCAGCACGCCCUCUCUCAGCUCAAGGCUCUCCAGAGACUUAUCCAAGAGAACCUAGAUCAAGUAUCUGCUGCAUUGAAAGCUGACCUCAACAAAAAUGAAUUUGAGUCAAUAGCGGGAGAAUGCAAUGUAGUCCUGCCGACAUUAUUGAAG